rnacentral:rRNA from 1 species
AGAGUUUGAUCCUGGCUCAGAUUGAACGCUGGCGGCAUGCCUUACACAUGCAAGUCGAACGGUAACAGGUCUUCGGAUGCUGACGAGUGGCGAACGGGUGAGUAAUACAUCGGAACGUGCCCGAGAGUGGGGGAUAACGGAGCGAAAGCUUUGCUAAUACCGCAUACGAUCUACGGAUGAAAGCAGGGGACCGCAAGGCCUUGCGCUCAUGGAGCGGCCGAUGGCAGAUUAGGUAGUUGGUGGGAUAAAAGCUUACCAAGCCGACGAUCUGUAGCUGGUCUGAGAGGACGACCAGCCACACUGGGACUGAGACACGGCCCAGACUCCUACGGGAGGCAGCAGUGGGGAAUUUUGGACAAUGGGCGCAAGUCUCUGUAUCAGGAGCCAUGCCGCGUGCAGGAUGAAGGC